AGAAGUCAACUUGAGCAGAGAGUGAGAAGCCUGGAGGAUAAGCCAUAGCAGGAGGAAGUAGGAGGACGCUCUCCGCGUCGUUGCAAAAUCCAACAAUAAUUGAAGUCAGGAUGAGAGUGGAGGCAGGACGGAGUUGCAGAAUCGGCGCACGGCCAGACCCAGGUGGAGUGGUGUACCUUGGGGCGGCUCUAGAUGGUCGCGGGAGAAGGAGUGCGUGGCUGCGCCAGACGCAAGAGGAGCGCCGAGCGCGCUGAUUGACCUCGUUCCGACAGGCCAACGGCAUCCCUGCGCGGGUGCUGACCGCGAGUUGUCUUCCAUCACCACCGUUGUGUGAUGCAGCGGCAACUCUGCCCGCGGAUCCGGAGGUAGGAGUGACGCUGCGGCUGGUGUGGCGCCGACGUGUAGGCACCGAGUUGUAGAGCCGAGCUGCUGGGGAGGGCGAGGUCGGCGACCGAUACCUGGGAAGAGCGGGGGGAGUCGAGUAUUGAGUGGGAGAAGUUCGAUUUUGACGGUGUAUGUGGUGGUGGAGAUCUACCUUCGGCCAAGAUUCGGCACAUUGGCUGAAGUGAGGGGUGGAAGCCGGACAGUGAGAUCUGUUAGUCCUGCCGUCGGUGGCUGGAGCACGAGGCGCCACCGAAGCUCGAACCGCACCACCGCACGGGCUCAAGAUGAAGCUGCGGGUAGUGCUGGAGCGGGAGAGCGCCGCCACGCUGGCUGGGCCUGGGAGAGCCUCUACGUGCUGUGGCGGGGGGCGCUGCUGAUUUUGCCAGUGAGCUUGUGGAUAAAGAAGAGCAAGGGGCAGCAUAUAGUUACAUUGAAUACAGAACCACGAAAGCUGAGUUGGGCCGAUCUGCUAUUAAUUGGUCUGGCUGGAAACCGGCAGCGUCCAUCUCCAAGAGGGGCGCAGAGGGGAGGCGGUAGAGAUUCUAGGGCAGGCUGUCGGUGCUUUGAUGAUGGAGGCUGAUGCGGCGCCCGAACUUGCCGAGCAUGUGGUACUUCCAGUCGGCGAACUCCUAGGUGAUAUUGUCAUCAUUGCGCUCGUCUCUGUCGUCCUCUCCAAGUGUACAGAUCUCACAAGGUACGGUGUUGGGGCAAGUCGUGAAGGAGAAGGGGGCGGACCUAGAGCUAUGGGUGGCAUACAGGCAUAGCAUCCGUACCCGUGCGGCCUUGCUGUCCGCACUCAGAGCAACGAACAUGAUAAGAACAAAUUCGGAAAGUGGAGCGUUCAAGAAAGGAAGAAGACUGCGAAUUUUCUUUUCAGGACGAGUCAAACAUGGUUCGUGUCUGUUUCUGCAAAUACAGAUUUUUUCGCCAACUCAGAUGUAAUUCGAAUAGAAAUAGCAGUGCUCCAUGCGAAGUUUCACUUUCUCGAAGUUUCAUCAUGUAUUGCAAUUUGAAAGGUUGAAUAACCUACAGCCCUAGUUCACGAGAUGCCAAAAGUUCCUUCAAAUUUA